GGAGAUCCUGGGGUUAACAAUAAUGUUACUGGCCCUAAGGGUGAAAAGGGAAACCUAGCACCACAGGGAGACCCGGGCCCGUGUGGACUCCAAGGAGAGCAGGGUUAUGCUGGCCUAGAUGGUGCAGCAGGUCGAAGAGGC